CCAACAGUGUUUUCCUGUAACGUUGUUGUUUCAUAUAUUGACGGUUAACCAGGUAAAUAUUUCUCUUUUUUCCCCUCAGUGUCCCUGUUUUUACGUGUUUUCAAAGACGAGUCUCCCUCAGCUGGACGUGUUCCUCGAGGAAAAGAAGGAAGCUCCGAUUGAACAGAGGGACGCACCGGGAAACUUUGUGUCGUGGCUCAUUCCAAGGAAUCCAGUUUACGUCCAUCAGAUUUCUGGGCGUUUUGAUGUUGGAAACUUGACUUCCUACAUAGAAUGUGAUCGGUACUUCAGAGAAAACCUUCAAGACGUCAAGUCCUACAUGGUGUAGAUCAGAGGUCUUAACCACCCUUGGCUCCUGACCAGUACCAAGGUCUGGACCAGAACCAGGCUGCACAGAAGAAAACAAUAAAGAUUAUUUUUAUUUUAC